rnacentral:rRNA from 1 species
CGUAGGGUGCAAGCGUUGUCCGGAAUCAUUGGGCGUAAAGCGCGCGUAGGUGGCCAUUUAAGUCCGCUGUGAAAGUCAAAGGCUCAACCUUUGAAAGCCGGUGGAUACUGGAUGGCUAGAGUACGGAAGAGGCGAGUGGAAUUCCUGGUGUAGCGGUGGAAUGCGCAGAUAUCAGGAGGAACACCAAUAGCGAAGGCAGCUCGCUGGGACGUUACUGACGCUGAUGCUCGAAAGCUAGGGGAGCAAACAGG